rnacentral:lncRNA from 1 species
AGCAAAUUACUUUUUAGAGGUAACUUUGCUGAACUUGUGAAGAAUGGUGUGCAAGGUCCAGAGCGACUGCAGGAGAGGGAAGGUGGGAUUCCCACAGAGCAGGAGCACAGAUAAGCCAAGCAAGGCCCUGCUUGGAAGGCAGCAAUCAACAGAGAUGCACAGACCUGUGAGGGUGCCGGGACAGCCAUGCAACAAUGCAGCCCUUUUGCUUCCUGAGCUCACCAGUUCCCUCGCUCCACCUCUGAGAGGUGGUUUGGAGAAACACAGCCCUUCUCAAGAGGGCUGCAAGCUACUUAAGUCCUGAAAAUUUCCACAAGGCUGAGUCAAAUCUGCGUUUCAUCAUCUAUAAGAAAGGUACCUAUCGAGAACACCCUGCUGGCCAGUGUGUAAAUAUCUAAAGGAGGACUCAGAAAACACCGGGGAAGUCCAGCCUGCACGUGGUGGCUGGGCUUCAGUGAAGCAUGCAGCACAACAGGAGUUGUAAGUAGUAGUUACAUCAGCAGCCCUGGAAAUUCUGCUCAGAACCAAACUGAACAAAUAACAUUAUCUAAGGCUUACAAUUAUUUAACUCCCUAAAUUUUCUGUCCUCCCAGUAGCACUUUCAAAUGCCUAAAAGCAAUUAAAAGAAACAUUUUUCCAAUGUCUCACAGAACCAUUAGAAACACAAAAUUAAUAGCUUCAUAAACUAUAGCUUCUAUUUUAUCCAUAAUAGAAUGAAGGUGCAUAAACCACAUAGUAAUUAAUCUUUGGACAAAAGCAAACAAUAAAUGGAAUAUAUGGCUAAGAUCCUUUCUUUUUGAGUGUGGCCCAAGAUAAAAAUUUCUUCCAAAAGGGUAACAUUAAUGCAAUAAGGCUUUUGUGGAAUUCUAUUUUGUACGAAAUUCCUGUUUUCUAUUAGCUACUUCUUCCUCUGUGACACAAGCCUCAUUCCUUGUGAAAAACACGAAGCAGAAAACAUUCGUGAAAUCAUCAGGUAAAGAUCCCAUGACCGUUCUAUCACUGACACAGUAUGUAGGUACAUGGUACAACCCCCAAGGGACCACCUUGUGGCAUCCUCAGCAACCACAGAGCCACAGGGCAGAUGAGUGUUUGCUCCCACUGAGGCUCUGCAACCUCUGCCACCAAUACUGGAGAAAUCCUCCAACCUCACUGUUUUCUCCUGAACUUGUUCCCUUCUGUUUUUCGAUUAAUACACAGCAAACAGGCACACCUUCAAGCUGCCAAAAGCAUCUUAAACGUUGUACACUUACAAUCUUCAAAAUAUAGUUGUUCAAAAGAGUCAUCAAAGUAGUUUUUGAAAUAGAACACUUACUUUGACCACAUAAUUGAACCUUCGGAUAUCUUGAAUUGCACUUGAGAAGUCUAACCGAUUAAAGGCUUCUCCCAAGGUGCAAUAGCCAUGCCUCUGGAAGAGCAACACAGAAUUUAAAAUUAGUCAAUUAGCCAAAAAGAAUUGGCAGUUAAUGUCAAUUAAUUGUGCGAUUAAAAAAAUUUUUGGCAAAGGACAAUUUGUUUUUAUUUUGAAGACUGAUUUUAGAUUUAGAUGAGAGUAUAGUAAAAUUGUAGCAAUGCUAAUAAUUUAAGCUGUUUAUGUAUACCUGAGACACCAUUAACUGACAUUUUUUACAACCUGCUGAAGUAAUGACAAAGACAAAUAUUUAUUAAAUAUCUUGCUGGUUUGUUUUGUUGGGGACAAACUGGGGUGUGGACGAUGUUAAAGCUAAGAUCAUAAAAAAACUGGAUUCAUUCUAGGCUACGCAACUAAAAAUACAUAAAUCAUCUGAUUAACUGCAUUGUAAGGAUGUAGGUGUUACAAAUAUCUAGUUGAAACACAGGAUUUCUCUGCAGGGGAGGCAUGCACUGCCCGAGUUUGAAGUGUAACAUGGGAUUUCUCUCCAGAGCAGCCAUGCACUGCCCAGGCUGGAAGUAUGCUCAACCACAAGGGUCAGGGCUGGGAGAGGCGCUUCGGUAGCAAGAAGGUGCCUCUGAAAACCAGCAUUGGGAUGGAGAGGGCUGAAGGCAAGUGCUGGAUGUGACCACGGGCAGCUUUCAGGCUGGGAGCACGGAUGCCAAGAACCCAAAACACCAAAAAAACUGGUGCUUAGACCCACAGGUCCAAGAACCGAAGGAAGAAAAUGAAACAAUUUAUUUUCAGUACUGUAAACACUGCUGCUAUUCUCUUAGAUGUUUUUCUUCCAUGAUAUACCCUUAUCCUGUAUUGGUUUGUAUAGAUUAGCACAUUAGGUUUCAGAAGUCAUUUUAAACUCCAUCUUCAUCCUCCAUAUUUGAAAUAUUUAAAAUCUACAGAUUUUCAGGUCAAAGUUGUAGAGAUAAGUAAGCUAGAAAACAAUAAUAGAAAACAUGAGACGAUUGGUCUCAAAUUCCAAACAGGUGACUUGAGAUGUCCUAGAGAAAGCAGCUGGAGCCAUAGCACCUUUGUCUCUAACAGCCGAUACACUCAGAGGCUCAUGUGCUUCUGUGCGCCAACCCCAAUCGCCCUGACGGGUGCACAACUCAACUAAAUAUACUCAUUUAAAACAUCCAAAUAUGUUGACUGAGUGCCUGCUAUGUGGAAAACAUUUUCCUGGGAACUCUGGGGAAAGGAAACACUCAUUUUGAUAUAGAUUAUAAUCUGAAAUCCAUCACAGCUGAUAUUCCACACGAUGGUGUAGCAGACACUUUCCAAGGUCACCACCCAUCUCACAAAAGGAAAUUAAAUCUGAUUCACAGAGCAGACCACAAAGAGCAUGUCUGGACCUAGAACCACAGCAUGUAACCUCGGAAGCAGUGAGACACCAGCCAGCAUGGACAAGCAGCAGGCACUUGCUCUAUACCAGGUGAGGGUGUGGAGACAUGACGUGGUGCAGGGACACCAGCACCCAGUCCUAGUUCUGGUCCCUCUCAGCCUUGUUAGGUCCUGGUUCCUAAGAUUCCAGGGAACAUCCCCAC